rnacentral:rRNA from 1 species
ACAAGCGGAGGAACAUGUGGUUAAUUCGAUGAUACGCGAGGAACCUUACCUGGGCUAGAACGCAUUCGGAAUCAGGCCGAAAGGCCUGCGCCAGCGAUGGCCGCUUGCGAGGUGCUGCAUGGUUGUCGUCAGCUCGUGCCGUGAGGUGUCGGGUUAAGUCCCAUAACGAGCGCAACCCCUACUGCUAGUUGCCAGCGGGUCAUGCCGGGGACUCUAGCGGAACUGCCAGCGUAAGCUGCGAGGAAGGUGGGGAUGACGUCAAAUCAGCACGGCCCUUACGUCCAGGGCUACACACGUGUUACAAUGGCCGGUACAGAGGGCAGCCACCCCGCGAGGGGGCGCGAAUCCCGAAAGCCGGUCCCAGUUCGGAUCGGAGUCCGCAACCCGACUCCGUGAAGCUGGAUUCGCUAGUAAUCGCGCAUCAGCCACGGCGCGGUGAAUACGUUCCCGGGCCUU